CUAAAAUCCUCAUCACCUCCCUCGUGGUUCCUGGGGGUGUGCCUGAAGUUUGAGGGUCAGAGCAGGAAGUGAGGGGCCAGCCAGACCCGAGGAGACCAAGCUGUGUGCUUGCUGCCCUCUGACCCCUGGGGCGGAGGGCAGGGGCCUCCUUCCACGGAAGGGACUCCUGUUGGGAGGCAGUCUAGGCUUUUGCUUUCUUUCUCUGCCCUUGGGCCCACCAGCAGUAGGCUAAUGUGCUUUCUGUGUUUCCACGAGAAGGUGGCUGAAGGCAGGAUCUCCCAGACUUUGAUCAGGAAGAGUCUUUGCUGGCAGCGCAUCUAUCAAUGUCUCCAGAACAACGUUCCUCAUGGCACACUGAUCGAACGUGGUUCCCGUCCUCCUUUGACAACAGUGCCUUCAAGGGCGGGCCCUCAUAUCAAACUGCCUUCUUUGCUCUCAGUAUGAACCCAGUACAAGCAACCCUAACGCUGCCUUGAGCACAAGCGUCUUGAUGGAGGUCAUCUCUGCUGAUCCCCUCCACGUCCUCCUGAACUCUCACUACUCCAUGUUCAUAUUCCCACACAGCCAGCACCCUACUGAUGCUGCCCCUGCUCCUCCUGCUCCACGUGUUCAAAACCAGCCUGAGCAUCCCGCAGCCCCGUCUGACUUCUUCUCUGAGUGGAUGAUGCUGCUGUUCGGCCCGGUCACCGAGAGGAACGUGCUCUUCCUCUCCCUCCUGUUGCAGCGUCUGAGCUUCAGGCACCUCUCACCUCUUACCUGGGCUCCUGGAGGAGCUUCUGUUUGGUCUGCCCGACUCCCGCGUUGCCCCUUCAAAUCCCCCCUCCACUCCGCAGCCACCAUGACCCUCGCUGACCCCCGCUCUGCUGACGGCAGGUGCCCCCAAGUGUGUUUCCAAGAAGACGCAGUCAGUGUGCUGUAUUCAGUGUUAUAUGAACACAAAGGUUUUCAUGGUCAAUGAAGUUGGAGAAAAGAGGGAAAAUUAGUUAGGUUUAAUUACUUUCCAGAGUCUUCGACAUGCUAAAACACAUUUUGGAGCUCCAACUGGGGGGUGCUUAAUAAAACCUUUGGCAAACUUUCUAGCAACAAAGGUGUAGUUUUUUGGAAUACACUGGAUAUAGCUGUUCUACGAGCUGAAAUGUGAUUUCCUUGUCUUCUCUCAUUGCUUUUCAUCUCCAGCUGCUCUUCUUGUGUAGACAGUGGGAGGACAGCAGUGUGGUACUCUGGAUUCAAGAACAGGAAGCUCUAAAUCUCAGCACAAGACUUUGGGUCCAACUCUUUACUUCCUCAGCACACGUGCUGGCCAGGCCCCACUUGCCCCUGGCGAGGCCCAUCUCUACAGUCUGCACCAUCCAGGCCUCCCGUCCUCCGACUUCCAGCUGGGUUUGGCCAAUGGACAGCAGCGUUGGGAGACCAGUGGUGGGCAGCGGGGACGAGGGGGCAGGGUGGUCAGCACCCCCCUUGUACUGCAGUGUUUGGACCCUCUCCGGCUCCAGCUGUCUCACGUUCUGGGUAACUCUCUCCCUCCUCUUUCUCUUUUGACCCAGGGGUGAUAAUGGCUCCGAGCUGUCGCUAAUCCCUGGAGGUUUCAUCAUCUCGUGUUGUUCCUUUAGCUCUGUCCACACCUCUGUAAAUCGUCAUUCCUUAAACUCUCUUCAGUUAAACCCCUGAGUAUACCACCUGUUUCCUGCUGGAUCCCUGACAACACAGAACUUCAGUCUCCUCACAAAAUGCGGAUAGUGACCCCUCUCGCGGGGCUGUUGAGAGCAUUAGCCAAAGUUCACGAGCGUGCAGAGCUCCCAGCUCAGAGCCUGGAGUGCAGCAGGCUCACCAGAUGAGACGACGUCCCUGGGCCUGCUCCCUUCUGCCAACAGCCACACAUCUGGGAUCUUCCUGCUCCUGGCCAGUGACCCCAGCCGAAGUGGGCAAAGGGAAGCAAUGCCGGGCCCCAGUCUGAAGACACAGAGCUGCCACAGGGACCCGGGCUCCAGUCAGCGGCCACAGAACAGGGCUGACCUGCAGGUCCCAUCACAGGGCCACGGAACAGAGGGUCCUAACAAGGACCGGAGCGGCGAGGGUCGGGGUGUCCACGUGCUCUCGCUCCUCCUGGAAGAAAGCUGCCUUUGUACUGGGCCCGAUGGUCUGAGCGCCCACACUGGCCCAUUGUUCCCGAGGAGGAAGUCGUUCCAGUUCCCCCUCUACUCCUGGUCCCCCAUUAAAGUGAGCAAGGGGCCUGGAA
ensembl:lncRNA